rnacentral:rRNA from 1 species
GGGCCCGCACAAGCGGUGGAGCAUGUGGUUUAAUUCGAUGAUACGCGAGGAACCUUACCAGGGCUUAAAUGUAGUGGGACAGGUCUAGAGAUAGACCCUUCUUCGGACUCAUUACAAGGUGCUGCAUGGUUGUCGUCAGCUCGUGCCGUGAGGUGUCAGGUUAAGUCCUAUAACGAGCGCAACCCUCGUCCUAUGUUGCCAGCACGUAAUGGUGGGAACUCAUGGGAUACUGCCGGGGUCAACUCGGAGGAAGGUGGGGAUGACGUCAAAUCAUCAUGCCCCUUAUGUCUUGGGCUUCACGCAUGCUACAAUGGCCGGUACAGAGGGCUGCAAUACCGCAAGGUGGAGCGAAUCCCAAAAAGCCGGUCUCAGUUCGGAUUGAGGUCUGCAACUCGACCUCAUG